AGCUUUGCACAGUGGCAGUAUCGUAGCCAAUGAGGUUUAUCCGAGGCGCGAUUAUUGCUAAUUGAAAACUACUCCCUCUUACUAUAAUGGUUUUACAUGUUAUUUAGAUAUCUUAAUAUCCUAUUAAACAGUGCUGUAAUUUUUUAAUUUCAGUUGAA
rnacentral:snRNA from 1 species